rnacentral:rRNA from 1 species
AUGGAGCCUGUGGUGACUGCUUCACAGGGGGCGUUGGGCCCCCUCCUGGUGAAGCUCACUGCCUUGCUUGCCAAUGAGUGUGGCCGCCUGAAAGGGGUUCGCCGUGAGAUCCGGUCGCUCCAAUCUGAGCUUACCAGCAUGCAUGGUGCGCUCAAGAAGUACACAAAGCUAGAAGAUCCUGAUGACCAAGUGAAGGAAUGGAUAUCACUGGUGAGGGAGUUGGCAUACGACACAGAAGAUUGCUUUGACAAGUUCAUUCACCACCUCGGCAAAGGUGGGCAUGAUGCUGGCUUCAAGGAGUUCUUCCGCGAGAUGGCUCACCGUCUAAAGACGCUUGGAGCUCGACGUGGAAUCGCCAACCAAAUCGAUGAUCUGAAGUUUCGCAUCAAGGAAGUGAAAGAGCUCAAAACUAGUUACAAGCUAGAUGAUAUUGCUUGUAGCAUCUCGGUCCAUGCGACAGUGGAUCCCCGGUUGGCCGCUCUCUUUGCUGAGGAGGCACACCUUGUUGGCAUUGAUGGUCCAAGGGAUGAUCUCGCCAAAUGGAUGGUGCAAGAAGAAAACAAACAUCACCGCAAAAUAUUGUCUAUCGUUGGGUUCGGUGGAUUGGGCAAGACAACAUUAGCAAAUGAGGUCUAUCACAAGAUUCAAGGGCAUUUUAAUUGUCAUGCUUUUGUGUCAGUCUCCCAAAAGCCAGAUACGAAGAAAAUUAUCAAGGAUGUGAUCUCCCAAGUGUCCAACAAUGAAGAAUUCACAAAAGAUAUAGAUAUUUGGGACGAAAAAAAAUCCAUUGCAAAACUAAGAGAACUACUACAAGAUAAGAGGUAUCUUGUCAUCAUUGAUGAUAUAUGGUCUAUAAUGGCUUGGAACGCUAUCAAGUGUGCUUUUCCAGAGAAUAAUAAGUCCAGCAGAAUUAUAGCUACUACACGCAUAUUUGAAGUAGCAAGCUCUUGUUGUCCAGGUCCUGACGACCAGAUAUACGAAAUGAAACCUCUAAGUAAUGAUCACUCUAAAAUAUUAUUUUUCAAAAGAAUUUUUGGUACAGAGGACUGCUACAUUGAUAUGUUGAAAGAAGUUUCAAAUGCAAUAUUGAAAAAGUGUGGAGGCCUACCAUUGGCAAUUAUCAGUAUAUCAGGCUUGCUAGGAAACAAACCAUGUGUCAAAGAAGAGUGGGAGAAGGUGAAAUGGUCAAUUGGCACUGACCUGAACAAAAAGCAAAGUCUAGAGGGAAUGAAAAACAUUCUGUUGCUCAGCUACAACGAUCUUCCUCCUAAUCUCAAGACUUGCUUGCUAUAUUUAUGUAAUUUUCCUGAGGAUUACGUGAUUGACAGAGAAAGAUUAGUGAGAAGAUGGAUUGCAGAAGGAUUUAUUUCUGAAGAGCGUGGACAGAGCCGUCAAGAGGUUGCAGAGAAUUAUUUUUACGAGCUUAUCAACAAAAGCAUGGUUCAACCUGUGGACAUUGGCUAUGACGGUAAGGUUCGAGCUUGUCGACUUCAUGACAUGAUGCUUGAACUUAUCAUUUCAAAAUCCAUCGAAGAGAAUUUUAUCACGAUAAUAAGCGGCAGGCAAACUGUUUGGGAAAAUUCUCAAUGCUUUAUUCGUAGGUUGUCAAUCCAGCACAUUGACCAGGAGCUUGCAUAUGAGUUGGCAAAGAAAGAUCUAAGCCACGUUCGAUCCCUGACAGUAACAUCACCAAGUUGCAUCAAACAUUUGCCUGGACUUGUUGAAUUUGAAUCUUUACGUGUUCUGGAUUUACAAGAUUGUCUGGAAAUAGAUGAAUAUGUUAUGAAUGGUAUGGAAAAACUUUUCCAACUGAAGUACUUGAGCUUGCGGAACACGGAUUUAUCAAGGGUACCAUCAGGAAUAACUGUGCUGCAUGAUCUAGAGACCCUAGAUCUUAGGGAUACAAAGAUCAAAGAAUUGCCAGCUGGAAUUGUUCAGCUUACUAAACUACAACAUCUACUCAUUGGAAACAAAGGUUUAAUUGAAAUGGAGAUACCAGUGGGGAUUGGGAAUAUGACAAAAUUACGUGAGAUUGCUGGUUGCUUUACCAUCACCAAGAGUUCUGUAAGUGCACUAGAGGAGCUAGGGAAACUGAUCAAUUUGGAAGUACUCCAAGUCCAAGUAAUAAUGUACAUACUGAAGGAUGACGAAUCUCAGAGGUACAAGAGUCAUGCAGAGAUGUUUCUCUCCUCACUACGCAAGCUUGGUAGCCGCAAACUCCACACCAUAUGUAUAUCGGGUAGCUUAUAUCUAUUCGAUUUGAUAGAUUCCUGGUGUCCACCUCCAUCCGGCCUCCAAAAAUUUGAGAUGACUAUGGAUUACUAUUUAUCCAGACUUCCGAGUUGGAUUGCACCAGCAUUACUCACCAGUCUUGCAUAUCUAGACAUCAAGUUAAGUGAGGUAACAGGGGAGGAUCUUCGUGUACUUGGAGAGCUACCUGCGUUACUUUCUCUUGGACUGAGGACCAAGAAGGUUCAGAAAGACAAGCUUAUUUUGCAACGUGGAGCAUUCCGAUGUUUGAAGGAGCUGUUUGUUUUUGGUGUAGAUGCUGGAACCUCUCUCUUUGAGGAAGGGGCAUUGCCAAUGCUUGAGAAGCUUGACCUGUCGUUUUUUGUAUCAGUGACAAAAGGCGGUGGGUUCUUCUUAGGCAUUGAGCACCUCCAAUGUCUGAAAUUCUUUAAUGUUCGUUUUAAAUAUAAGUGGGCUACUUGUCCGGAAUGCAAGGCUGCAGCAGUUGCCAUAAGGAAUGAAGCUAAUCUGCAUCCCAACCAUCCGAGGGUAAUUCUCUAUAUGGAGACGUCGGAGAACGCCGUGAUGGCGUUAGAUGUGUUAUCCUUAGAUACAAGGUCGCGAUGGUGGUGCUGA